UAUCUAUGGUUUUGAAGAAAUUCUUUUUGUAAUUUGCAAUAUCAUCAGAUAUCAGACGAAGGUAAUCAAAUCUAAGGAAAGUAAUAAAUCAAGAAAAUUAACUAUAAAUUAAACUGAAUGUUUGCUUAGACAUUCAAACAUUACCAAGGAAUAUAAAUCUACCGAAAUUCUGUUUAUAAUGUAACAGCGUGCUUACAGAUUCGAGAAUUAGAGUUAGUUUAUGAUUAGAACGCGCCUUCUUGUCUGAAUUUAAACACUUCAGUGCACUAAAGUAAUAACGGGAUGUGAUUUUGUGUUGACAACUUUUUGGAAUAUAAUGAAAGGAACACAACUCAGGUUAUAACCAACAGCACUUCAAAGAGAGAUAUACAAUUGUCCAUAAAGACUACAGAACAAACAGAAUAGCUCAAAACCCCAACGCCAAAACAAGACACUGUAAUUGUCCGAAGCACUUUUCAGUAACAAAGUUACCUUCUUCAGGGACUGAAGACAGUUCACUUAUUCCAAAAUCUACUUAGGCCUUUUAUCAACAGGAUAUGGGGAACCAGGGAGCAUAAAAGCUCGGGGUGACAUGUUUAUGAAACAUUAGUUUCUCCUUCACUCUGCAAAGUAGCAGUACCUACACUUCUGAGGAAGGCCUGAAGGUGCCUGUUUUUCAUUGGGAUGGAGACAAUGUGUUAUUAAAGGAAGGAUUUAUGACAUGAAUUGGUAAGUAACAAUUAAAAAUAGUCCAUGAGGUCCUACAAACCUCAAUUUCAUAGACAUUUGUAACUUACUUUCAAUAGAAAGAUUUUAAACAUCGUUUUAGAAAUGUCAAAAACAUAACAG